rnacentral:misc_RNA from 1 species
AAGACUAUAGACCUGCGGAGUACCUGCGGAAGGAUCAUUUUUGAUAUGAUUUAACAACACGGUUGGGUUGAGUGUGGUGGGGUUGUCUGGUUCUAGUUGGGUUUUGGUCCUAGUUGGGUUUGGUCCUAGUUGGUCCAGACUCGGCCUGUUGGUCCAGACUCGGCCUGACCUCCAAACCACCCACUCUGUCCACCUGCAAACACACCAACCCUAAAACACCGCUUGUCUGAUUCUGAUAAC